UUUAAAGUAACAUAAAAAUCUUAGAUGUAUUGAUUUUUAUUCAAUGCAAACUAGUCCAUUUUGAGUCAUGGUUGGUUCUAAAUGUGAGCACCGAUCAAUGUCGUAGAGUGUAUCCAUUGUUAACAUAAUUACUAAAAAUCUAAAACACAUAUCAUAAAACAAAAUUUCAAUCUCCAUUAAGAAGGAACAAGAAUCACAGGAAGAUCCGCCUCCUUGGCCUCAUACAAUCCGCUGAGUGUGUAGCCAUGGACACUUGGUCAAUGCCAGUCAACUCGACCUGGACAGCCGAGUGUAAUCUCCGUUUGGCUUGUCUUCUCAGCACAUGGCAACUUACUUCCUCGAUGCCAUUUCAGCUCAUAUCACCGGCUCCUACCCGGACACCUACUCCCCUCUCACCACGCUCAUCAAAACCUACCAUCAGAAGCUCCUCAACGCCUCCAAUCUUCAACUCCGUCACCUUUUUAAUCAAAUUCUCACAUUUCACAGCCAGUCAAGCCAUUCAACAGGCCCUUGAACAUGCUGAUCAUGUCCACAUCAUUGACCAUGACAUUGUGCAGGGCAUCCAAUGGCUGGGAUUGUUCAAUAUCCUCGACUGCAAAUUGCAAAAAAUCAAGUUCAUUCUAAUCACCAGCAUUAGACCCUCCAUGAGACUAUUGAACUCAACGUGCCAGCUUUANUUC
rnacentral:lncRNA from 1 species